CAGAUGGUCGUUGCGUUGUGGAGUCAAC
rnacentral:piRNA from 1 species